CAGCCGCCACGGUAAUACGUAGGUGGCAAGCGUUGUCCGGAAUUAUUGGGCGUAAAGGGCUCGCAGGCGGUUUCUUAAGCCUGAUGUGAAAGCCCCCGGCUCAACCGGGGAGGGUCAUUGGAAACUGGGAAACUUGAGUGCAGAAGAGGAGAGUGGAAUUCCACGUGUAGCGGUGAAAUGCGUAGAGAUGUGGAGGAACACCAGUGGCGAAGGCGACUCUCUGGUCUGUAACUGACGCUGAGGAGCGAAAGCGUGGGGAGCGAACAGGAUUAGAUACCCGCGUAGUCCCUGUCUCUUAUAC
rnacentral:rRNA from 1 species